GUGGUAUCACCGAGUUUCCAGAGUUUGCAAGAUCGCAAAAUAUGAGGAGUCUAGACAUUUCCAACAAUAAAAUCAAAGGACAAGUGCCUGGCUGGUUAUGGACACUACCAAAUCUGUAUCACCUGGAUCUUUCCAACAACACUUUCAUUGGCUUCGAAAAACCAACAACAGUUUUAGUUUCAAGGCUAUCCUUGCUUGCCUCCAACAACAAUUUUACGGGAAAGAUUCCCUCUUUCAUAUGUGAUUUGCGCAAUGUAGACACUCUUGAUUUAUCAAACAACAACUUCAGUGGUUUAAUCCCUAGUUGUCUGGGAAAUCUCAAGCCUACUCUUGAAUAUCUAAACCUUCGUCAGAAUCGUCUUCAUGGAGGUCUUCCAGAGAAUAUAUUUGGAAACUUAAGAACGCUUGACAUCGGUCAUAACCAACUGACGGGAAAGCUUCCAAGAUCUUUGAUCCGGUUCUCUAGUCUUGAAGUUCUGAACGUGGAAAGCAACAUUAUCAAUGGUACGUUUCCGUUUUGGUUGAGUUCUCUACCGGAACUCAAAGUUCUUGUGUUACGCUUUAAUGCCUUCCAUGGACCGAUACAUCAAACUUCGUUCCCUGAGUUGCAAAUCAUCGACAUAUCACACAAUCACUUCAAUGGAGCUUUGCCAUCAGACUUCUUUGUGAAGUGGAGUGCUAUGUCAUCACUUGGGACUGUUUAUUAUGAUCAGCAUGAUCAGCUGGAUGACAAGUACAUGGGAGGUUCCUAUUACCAUGAUUCAAUGGUGUUGAUGAAUAAAGGUAUAGAGAUGGAGUUUGUACGUAUCCUAAAGAUCUACACAGCACUCGACUUUUCAGGAAACAAAUUUGAAGGAGAGAUCCCAAGGUCCAUUGGCCUAUUAAAAGAGCUUCUUGUGCUCAACUUGUCUAACAAUGCUUUCUCUGGCCACAUCCCUUCAUCUAUGGGAAACCUGACGGCUCUUGAGUCACUGGACGUUUCCCAAAACCAGCUUUCAGGAGAAAUACCGCAAGAGCUAGGGGAACUCUCAUUCCUUUCCUACAUGAACUUCUCUCAUAACAAGCUUACAGGUCUAGUACCAGGAGGCACUCAGUUUCUAAGGCUCAACUGCACUUCUUUUGAGGAUAAUCCGGGACUUUCUGGCCCUUCUCUUGAAGAAAUUUGCAGAGAUAUGCACACGCCAACACCGCAUGAAACGCUGGAAUCUGUUGAAGAAGAAGAGGAAGAGGUGUUGAGUUGGAUAGCAGCUGUCAUAGGAGUCAUACCUGGUAUUGCCUUUGGAUGGGUGAUUGGAUACAUACUUUUUUCCUACAAACCACAGUGGUUCAUGAACCCUUUUGCCCGAAACAAGCGCAGAAUCAGCAGCACCACAACUCAUUAAAAAGGUAAUUUUCCAGAGUUUUAAAUCAACUUGUUAGAAAACACUGGAAGAAACAAAAAUAUUAUAGUGAAAUCACCUGAGUUAACCUUUUCUUUUUUUUUGGUACAUGUCUUUUAUAAGCUACCUGAGGAAUCUGGAAGAAGAAAUCCAAAGGAACCACUAUGUCUAUCGUAUCAAAUAAGAUUUGGGGUAUCGUUUCUGGUUUAGCUUGGUGUUUUUCUCAUUACUCUGUUUUUACUCUCUCUUUUUUUUCUAGCAAACUUCUUUGUUCCUCUGGUAUUGUUUCUGUUUUAGCUUGGUGUGUUUUUUCUCUAUCUCUAUUUUUUUUUUACGUUUUAUUAAACUUCUUUGUUUCUCUGUAAUUGAACAACCAUGUUGCUUACGCUGAAAAUUACAAGCACCAGUCAAAGAUGUGUCGUCUUUUCCCCUCUUGUGAAUCUAAACAUCAACUGUUUAGACGUGAGAUGAGCAAUGAACAGAUGAUCCAGAUCAACGCUAUAAACCUUGCAGGGUUUUAGAAAAGGAUAUACAUAUUAUAUAUGGAUAUUUCGAUUUCUUAUAUCACUGAGACACAUAAAUUCAUAGAAACUAUAGAUUAAUAAUGACCAGAAAAAAGAUAUAUGCUCAACUUAAUUUGUUUUAACGAUCAUAUGAAAAUUCUUCUUUGAUCAGUGUGAAAUCUAUUUUAUAUUUUCUUUAACUGACUUUUACAUCUACUCUCAAGUCUUGCUUCUCUUUAAUUUGAUGUCCACAAUCUCAAAUAGAGACAUCAAUAGCUUGGUGGGUUUGAUCAGUUCCAAAAAGUGAAUUAUGGAAAGAACAUCUAUGAUGUCAAUAUGAAUGUCUCCAAAGAACCCCUUUAUGCAUUGUGUUAAAUCUGUUAAGGCAAUUCUGAGACCUGAUUACGCAAAAAGACUAACUGCAGAUCAUAAAAAAAAAAAAAAAAAGAGAAAUGAGACCACAGGCGUUGAUACAGAAACCAUAAUACAUUAAACACUUGACAAAAGUACAUGUUGAUAUGUCAGUCAGAUUACUACAAGAGUUUCUUUCCCCAAUCUCGAUCAGCUUCUCAGAACCAACGAGUGUUCCUUUGCUCUACCACAGUAUAGCUUCUCCACAAAUCUAAUCCCUACAACUUCUUCCCUGUACAACAGCACCACAAAAUUCAAGUUUCAGUAACUCAUCAUCAUAUAUGAUGAACAAAUAUAACAUUAACAAACAGAACCUGAAACCUCAGAAGCUUACCUAAAGUUUCAACAUGUUCAUCCGUUGCAACUCAAGCUCCUUUGCAGCUUCCAUCCUCUGCUUCUCCAACUCAACCAUCAUCCUCUGCUUCACACCUUCAAUCCUCUCGUACACCUCUCCCAACUUCAAAAUCGCUCUCGCCAGCUCCCUACAAGANNNNNNNNNNNNNNNNNNNNNNNNNNNNNNNNNNNNNNNNNNNNNNNNNNNNNNNNNNNNNCGACGACCCUUCGCCUCCACUCGGAUCCACAUCCUCCACUCUCCGAUGCUUCCUCACCACAAACCCCCAAUCUCCCACCUCAUCAUCAUCAUCCUCCUCCUCCAAAGAGCUCCCACUCGAUUUAGAUCCCGUCGGAUUCUUCAACGCCGGUCUCACAACUCCGGUGGAUUUCUUCGCCGCGACGGGACCGAUCAAGAAAUCGAGCCUCUCGAAGAAGCACCAAGACGACGGAGAAGGCUUACUUCUUCUCUCAUAACCAGCUUGUCGGUCUAGUACUGCACUUCCUUUGACGGUAAUCCGGGACUUUCUGGCCCUUCUCUUGAAGAAAUUUGCAGAGAUAUUCACAAGCCAGUCAGAGGAAGAAGAAGAGGAAGAGGUGUUGAGUUGGAUAGCAGUUGUAAUAGGAGUCAUACCUGGUUUUGCCUUUGGUUGGGUGAUUGGAUACAUAUUUGUUUCCCACAAGCCACAGAGGGAUUCAUGAAUCCUUUUGUCCGAAACAAACGCAGACGCAGCAGUACAACAACUCAUUAAAGAGGUAAUAUUCCAGAGUUUUAAAUCAACUUGUUAUUACCAAACAUUGGAAGAAACAAAAUUAUUAUAGUGAAAUCACCUGAAUAAACCUGACAAAUAUGGAAGACUGGGAUUGGGAAAAGAGUGGGACAGAGUUCUGUGAAGUUAAAUGGAGUGAAGACUGAAUGAAGAUGGAAAAACAUGGACAGUGCCCCUGAACUAACACAAAACAAGGGGUCGUGUCUACAUCAAUAGUGGUUGGAGAUGUUUUUGCCGCUCAAUUUGAAAAAGAGCCAACGUUUUAUUGGCUUUUAAUCUUGUGCAAACGCUCAUCAGAGCAAUCCAAAACAAACUCCAGAUUAAAGAAAUCUUCGGUAUCGUCUCAGAUAUCAUGCAGAUCUCCUCGGCGUUUGAAUCUAUCUCUUUCUCCUUUGUUCCACAAUCAGAAAACCAAAAGGCUGACUGUUUAGCCAAACGGGCUCUGAUCUCUUCUGUUUCUGCACUUGUUUGAACAUCUGGGUAUUGGGCUUUGUUUUCGGCCCUUUAUCUUUCCUUUGCUUUUAAUAUAAUCUCGUUGCACAAAAAAAAAAAAAAAAAAAUCUUGUGCAAACAGGUACAAACCCUGUUCUCCAGUUGUGUUCGUCCUACAACCGAAACUGUCUCCGAGCUUCUUCUUCAUCUUCAUCUUCAACAAGCCAAGAAAGAUUCUUGACACUGACUCCAACACCAUACACUCUCAAGAAGUCUAAUUUGGUAAGUUUUCAUCAAUACACCCAGCAUUGUAUCUGAGUUGUUUUAAUGUUUUGAAGUCUUUAUUAAGUCUACCGGGCAAGCUUGUGUGGUUGAAUGGUAGUGAGAAGGCAAGGACGAUAACUCUCGUGGACAGAUACGGUUUCAAAAGGUCAACGAGUCUUGAAGCUGAUAACAAAUCUGGAAGAAUGUGACUGGGAAAAGAGUGUAGAGCGUUCUGUGAAGCUAAUGGAGUGAAGGCUGGUGAGUCCUUUAAGCUAGAAUUCAUCAAAGAUGAAAAAUUCACAGCGACUCAACUACUUAAGCUAUGUUCUAAAGUCUUAAACUCUCUCUGAGUUCGUUUUGAUUAUGUAAUAUCUACGUACAGUGUGUAUUUUGAUUUUUGGCAGGCUUGUCAGGCAAGGCUGUAGUAACUUGGUAUGAGACGAACCUAGGCUAUGUUAAAUUGACUCUCCUUUGGAGAAUAGACCCUCAAAAAUACAUUGUCAUUCAGUAUAAUAUUUUUUUUUUUGAUCUAUAAUAACGUUUACAAAAACACCAAUGAAUACUAACUAACUUUUUACUCUGCCCCCUGAACGCUCAUCUUCUCAUAGUAGAGAGGCAAAUUUGAUUACAUCAUCCAGUGUAUCAAACAACUUACCAUCCAAAUCCAAACCAUUCUUUUGAUUGCUUUCUUUAUACGAAUUUGUGCUUUAGCUCAUGUUUUGUUCUUGGUUUUUCACUAAAUUAGCAGCUUAUAUGUAUUCUUCCUAUAAAGAACGUUCUCUCGGACUUUCUCUCAAGCAAGUACACGAGCAGGUCUACACGGUUGCGUGGCGUAACCUGAUAGACCCGUCUGUCAGUCUCAGUCUGCUUCGAAAUCAAUGAGGAGGGCAACUGGUGCAUAUAGUCUGCUUUCUGACUAUUAAAUAUGACCAGAGAAAUUUCCACACAUGAACUUAAUAUUGAUUAGGAAAGUUGUUUUGCUUUCGCUGUAAUGUAUAGUGAAUUUUUCUUUGUGUAAUAAAUAUACAGUUAAAUUAGCUUAAAGAAAAAUGAGAGGCUUUUGGAACUUAACGUGUACCAUUUCUCUUAUUCUUUCUAUAAUUUUCUUAUUCUGCUACAAUUAUGAGGACGUGUCUGCGGAUACUACUAGGCACUUGUGUCGUCCUGAUCAAAGGGAUGCACUUCUCCAUCUUCGAUUGGAAAUCUUUCUCAUCUCAUCUCACCUACCUUGACUUUUCUUCUACUCAAAUUUUGGGUCAGAUUCCAUCUUCUACUGGAAAUCUUUAUAAGCUCACUUAUCUUGACCUUUCUAACAACAAUAGCUAUGUUCUUUUGAUUAACGCAGCUUCUCGCGUCAGCGACUCCAAAUCUUAUGGUGGCUGCUUCGUGUGAAACGACGCGGACAAUGGUGAUGACAUAAAAAGUGUUGCCGUAAUAGUAAAAAAUAGUCGCCGCGUGAGUCGUAACUGACGCUACAAUUUUUAGCGAUCAAUUAUCAUCCCAAAACUAACGCUGCGUCUCUUAUAAUUAACUUCGGCAAAGUGGGUUUUCAGCAAUCUUGCUUUUAAAGUAACGGAAAUACAGAGCGAAAAAGAGACGCAGACGCUAACGCAGCGUUUAUCAAAAGAACAUGACUAUUGUUGGUGAUAUCCAAUCUUCUAUUGGCUAUCUAAACCAGCUGACCACCUUAAGUGUUUAUAAAAAUAAGCUCAAUGGAAGCUUGCCCAUUACACUACUGAAUCUGACAGAGUUGUCAUAUUUAGUACUCAGCGUCAAUCAGUUUACAGGAAUAGUUCCUCAUAACAUGUUACGUAUGAGGCUAGAAGGCCACCAAUACUGUACCAGUGCGAGAGGAGAAAGAAAGGCCCAGUUCAGAAAAAGUGACUAAGCACAAGAAGCAUCUAGAAGAAAUCAAUAAAAGAGGAGAAAGGAUGAAUCACAGCAACGGCCUUGGGCACGAGCACAUGGGUUGUCUGUGACGUGUCCCCUGCUUUUUCACUUUAUAAGUAGUAGUAAGGAAUAAUAGUUUGUGAUCGAGAGAGAGGAUCGAUCUGGUAGUGAUUGGAGAGAGAGUACUCCUGUCUAAAAACUCUAAAUCAUUGUAUUUGCUUGUUCUUUAAGGAGUCUUCAUAAAGUUCUUUACACGAUCGAGCUUUUACAAUACUAGUCGUAACAAACUUGGUAUCAGAGCAAGACGAACCUGAGGGCUUGUGAUGGGACCGAAGAAGAAUGACGACAAGGUAGCGGAGCAGAUCCAUCGCGAUGAUGACCGUAUCGUGGUGGUGGAGAGCAAGAUAUCUGCGGUGGAGGACCGAUUGAACGAGAUGAUGAAGUUCAUCGCCAGUGGGUUUGAGAGGAUCGAGCCGCGGAAGGAGGAUCAGACGGAGGGAAAGGAUCGGCGAGGAGAAGGGCUGAUACCCUCUGGUCUGACCUCCAACCCAGCCGGUGCUUCUAAACCUAUGGUGCUGCAAGGUGAAGGCUCGGGGAAGCAGAUCCUCGAAGAACCGAGAAGCAUCUCCGGAGUGAGGUCGACGGCGGCGUCAGGACCAGGAGCGGAUUCUGUCAACACCCAAACCUCAUACCGGAGUAUCUUGGGAGGCAAGGAAGAGUGGUUACCAAAGAGAUUGGAGAUCCCAACGUUUGACGGAGAAGAGCCGGAGAACUGGGUGUUACGUGUGGAACAUUAUUUUGAGUUGGGAGAUUUUACGGAGGAAGAAAAGUUGCGCGCCGUCAGGAUGUGUUUUAUCGGCGACGCGUUACCUUGGUACCGAUGGGAAAGGAGUCGGAAUCCGUUCCUGAGCUGGGAACAGAUGAAGACAAGGGUAUUGGAGCAGUUUUUGGCGGUGCGCGAUACGAGCGCCGGUGAGCAUAUCCUGUGUCCCCGACAGACCGGGACGGUGCGAAGCUUUCGCAGCGAGUUUAUCGCGUUAGCUUCCAACGCUCUGGGGAUUCCCGAUCCGAUCUUAGAGAUGGCUUUUAUGAACGGGUUGAAGCCUAAAAUAAAAGCGGGAGUGAGGAUGAUGAGUGUAAGAGGGUUAGAGAAGGUGAUGGACGCCGCGAAAUUGUUGGAGGACUGGUCCGAAGGAGGGGAGACGACGGAGGAGACGACAGAGACGUCGUCUAAGACUGGCCGUGUUACGAGUGGUUGUCAUCUAGCCCAAACAAAUAAACCGGCCCAAUCAACCGGUCAAAUCCCAAACCUUAACAAGGGAAGGCCCACUUUCAAUGGAACGACGGCGUCGAGCAAUACCCAGACGAAACCUAAUCACAAUCGAUUGAAACCAUCCUUUCGGCGGUUGACUCCGGCAGAGGUGGCGAAAUGGAAGGCGGAGGGGUUGUGUUACCGGUGCGACGAGAAGUACAUAUAUCCUCACCGUUGCGCCCAGCCCGAGGUGGUGGUCUUGAUGGUGCUGGAGGACGGAACAGAGAUAGAUGUGCUAAACUGUUCCGUCGAGUUAGAGGAAGAGGAGAUCGCAGAGGAAGUGGAAGUAGCAGCGAUUUCGAUCAGCUCCAUUGUGGGAAUCUCCUCAACUCAUACAAUCAAGCUCAAAGGAAAGUUGAUGGGAAGAGAAGUGGUGGUUUUGAUCGACAGCGGGGCCACCCACAAUUUCGUAUCGAAGGAGCUAGUGACACAGUUGAAGUUACAGACGGAUAGAACUCGCGGCUAUAGUGUGAUGACAGCCGGUGGAGUGACCUUCAAGGGAGCAGGGUUGUGUAGCGAGUUAGAGCUGGAGCUACAAGGUUGUACGAUCACCUCAAGUUUCCUACCAUUGGAAUUAGGAAGCGCUGAUGUCAUAUUAGGCAUUCAGUGGUUGGAAACACUCGGGAAUAUGAAGGUCAAUUGGAAGCUACAAAUUCUACGUUUCAAGGUGGGAUCGCAUAAGUAUGUCCUACAAGGAGAUCCCAGCCUCUGUUGUUCAGCGGCGUCUCUCAAAUCUAUUCUGAAGACGUUACAGCAGGACGGAGAGGUGAUGUUGAUUGAAUACAACGGGAUGCAGUUGGAGGGAGAAGAAUCCGGGAAAGCCUCUCAGAUUCCUCAGUCCUUACAAGACAUCUUGAAAGAGUUUACAGAGGUCUUUGAUGAACCUAGGGGGCUCCUUCCGUCAAGAGGAAAGGCGCACGCUAUUGAGUUGAAGAAGGAAGCAAGCCCCGUGAGCGUCAGGCCCUUUCGAUACCCUCAAGCUCAACGUGAGGAGAUUGAGAAACAAAUCGCAGCUAUACUCACUGCAGGGAUCAUCAGAGACAGUAACAGCCCAUUCUCGAGCCCUGUGCUGUUGGUGAAGAAGAAGGACGGAAGCUGGCGGUUCUGCGUUGAUUACCGCGCCCUUAACAAGGUCACCAUCGCAGACUGCUACCAUAUACCGAUGAUAGAUCAACUGCUGGAUGAGUUGCAAGGAGCAGUCGUCUUUUCGAAGUUGGAUUUGAAGUCAGGUUACCAUCAAAUUCUGGUGAAAGCGGAGGACGUGCAGAAGACAGCGUUCCGUACUCACGACGGCCACUAUGAGUUCCUAGUGUGCCGUUCGGACUGUCAAACGUACCAGCUACAUUCCAGUCGUUGAUGAAUGAGAUAUUCCGAAGCUAUUUAAGGAAAUUCGUCCUCGUCUUCUUUGACGACAUAUUAGUUUAUAGUAAGACAGAGAAGGAACACGCGGUGCAUCUCAGACUGGUGCUAGAGAAACUAAAGGCACAGAAGUUAUAUGCCAACCAAAAAAAGUGCGAAUUUGGGAGCUCUCGAAUAGAGUACUUGGGGCAUGUAAUCAGUAAGGAAGGAGUAGUAGCUGAUGAGGGGAAGAUUCAAGCCAUGACAAAUUGGACGACGCCAAGAACCGUGAAGGAGUUGCGCAGGUUCUUGGGUUUAACCGGGUACUAUCGGAAGUUUGUACAAAGCUAUGGAGAGAUUGCAAGACCUUUAACAUCAUUUCUCCGCAAGGACCAGUUCAGAUGGUCUGAAGGAGCGACGGGUGCUUUCCAACAGCUGAAGAGAGCCAUGACAACGGUACCGGUGCUUGCCUUGCCUGAUUUCAAGGAGCAGUUUGUAGUGGAAUCAGAUGCAUCGGGAGUGGGAUUGGGAGCGGUCUUGAUGCAGAAGCAGCGACCCAUCACGUACUUCAGUCAAGCACUGACAGAGAAGCAACAGCUGAAGUCAGUAUAUGAGAGGGAGUUAAUGGCUAUAGUCUUUGCCAUACAGAAGUGGGCGACAUUACUUACUCGGAAGAAAGUUUCUAGUAAGAACGGACCAGAAGAGUCUCAAGUUUUUAUUGGAGCAACGUGAAAUCAACAUGGAGUAUCAGAAAUGGCUGACGAAGAUUCUUGGUUUCGACUUCGACAUUCAUUACAAGCCCGGACUCGAGAAUAAAGCCGCAGACGGCCUUUCUCGAAAAAGUGCAAUACUAGAGUUAUUUGCAGUAUCGGUUCCAGUAUCUAUUCAGUUGGAGGAACUAGGUUCUGAGGUGGGGAGGGAUGAAGAGUUGUCUAAGAUAAUGGAAGACCUGUCUCGAGAUCUGAAUUCACAUCCUAACUACUCUAUGGUACAAGGGAGACUGCUGAGACAGGGGAAGCUUGUACUACCUAAGACGUCUCAGUUGAUUGGAGUUAUCUUGAAAGAAUACCACGACAGCAAGUAUGGGGGGCAUGGCGGAGUAUUAAAGACACAAAAACGCAUUGGAGCUUUGUUCUAUUGGCAGGGCAUGAUGACUGACAUCAGGAAGUAUGUGGCGUCAUGUCAGACUUGCCAACGACAGAAGUACUCCACGUUGGCACCGGGGGGGGGGGGGGGNNNNNNNNNNNNNNNNNNNNNNNNNNNNNNNNNNNNNNNNNNNNNNNNNNGGGGGGGGGGGGGGGGGGGGUCUCCUCCAGCCUCUACUGAUACCGUCCAACGUGUGGGAAGACAUUUCGCUUGAUUUCAUUGAGGGGCUGCCUAAGUCGGGAGGAGUCAACACUGUUCUCGUGGUGAUAGACCGUCUUACAAAGUAUGCUCACUUUGUGGGUCUCAGGCAUCCGUUCACUGCUGUUGAUGUGGCUAUGGUCUUCAUGCAGGAGAUAGUCAGACUACACGGGUUCCCUAAGACCAUAGUGUCAGAUCGUGACAGGAUAUUCACAGGGCAGUUUUGGAAGGAGCUGUUCCGUUUAGCAGGGACCAGUCUAUGCUUUUCAACGGCUUACCACCCACAGUCUGACGGACAGACCGAGGUUACCAAUAGGGGAUUAGAAACAUAUCUACGUUGCUUUGCGGGAGAGAAACCACGAACGUGGGCAAGCUACUUGCAGUGGGCGGAGUUUAGCUACAACACGUCGUUCCACUCUGCUAUUAAUAUGUCACCGUUCCAAGGCUUGUAUGGUAGAGAGCCACCUUCGCUGUUACAGUACGAGAAUGGCUCUACCAACAAUGCUGAGUUGGAAGCACGGCUGCAGGAGCGUGACGACAAUUUGGCAUUGCUUCGCCAACAGUUGUUGAAAGCUCAACAAACUAUGAAGGCAAGAGCAGAUGAGCACAGGAGGGAGGUGGAAUUUCAAGUAGGGGAUAAGGUCUUUGUGAAACUCAGGCCUUACAGAGAGAAGACGUUGGCUAAGAGAAUUAAUGAGAAGCUAUCGGCUCGCUUCUAUGGGCCGUACGAGAUAGAGAGACGCAUGGGGAAGGUGGCGUAUAAACUACGGUUACCAGCAGAGGCCCGCAUUUAUCCCACUGUUCAUGUUUCACAGCUAAAGAAAGCGGUGGGUGAGUCCUUCGAGUCAGUGACCCUGCCAUCACAGCUCACCGCUGACGGGGUAUUGGAGGUAGUUCCAGAGGCCGUGCGAGCUCACAGGUUCAACACCACGACAGGCCACGAAGAGUUGUUGAUCAAAUGGGUCGGGUUGACAGAAGCUGACUGCACGUGGGAAUGGAAGAGUAUGAUUGAGAAGCAGUUUCCAGAGCUUGACCUUGAGGACAAGAUCAGUUUCAAUGGAGGGAGUAAUGUUACGUAUGAGGCUAGAAGGCCACCAAUACUGUACCAGUACGAGAGGAGAAAGAAAGGCCCAGUUCAGAAAGAGUGACUAAGCACAAGAAGCAUCAAGAAGAAAUCAAUAAAAGAGGAGGAAGGAUGAAUCACAGCAACCGCCUUGGGCACGAGCACAUGGGUUGUCUGUGACGUGUCCCCUGCUUUUUCACUUUAUAAGUAGUAGUAAGGAAUAAUAGUUUGUGAUUGAGAGAGAGGAUCGAUCUGGUAGUGAUUGGAGAGAGAGUACUCCUGUGUAAAAACUCUAAAUCAUUGUAUUUGCUUGUUCUUUAAGGAAUCUUCAUAAAGUUCUUUACACGAUCGAGCUUUUACAAUACUAGUCGUAACAUAUCAUCACUUCACUAUCCAAAUUGAGAAUUUUCGAUGCAAGUAACAAUGCUUUCACUGGAACCCUGCCUUCUUCUCUCUUCACAAUUCCUUCUAUUGAUUACGUUAAUUUGUCUAAUAACCAACUCAACGGUAUUCUUGAGCUUGGGAAUAUAUCUUCACCAUCUAAGCUACAAGUGUUAAACGUUGGCAGAAACAACUUCACAGGGCCAAUUCCAAGCACGAUAUCCAAAUUUACCAACCUCGUACGGCUUGACCUUUUCCAUUACAAGCCACAAGGUCCAGUUGAUUUCAGUAUCUUCUCACAGCUCAAGCGGUCGAAUAUCUUGAUCUAUCCUAUUUGAACACGACCACCACUAUAGACCUGAGUGAUAUAUUGUCAUAUUUUAAGAGGCUCCGUCUGUUGUUUUUCUCAGGCAACCAUGUCUCAGCCACAAACAAGAGUCCAGUUUCAGUUCCCCCUUUGCUGUAUGAGUUGCACUUGUCAGGCUGCGGUAUCAACGAGUUUCCGGAGUGGAGUUCGCAAGAAACAAACAUAUGUCGGUUCUAAACAUUUCCAACAAUAAAAUCAAAGGUCAAGUGCCUGGCUGGUUAUGGAGGCUACCAGAUCUGACUUACCUGAAUCUUUCCAACAACAGUUUCAAGAGUGUCUACAUUGCGCAUAUCUUCUUCCUGAUCCACCACUUUUUUAUCUGAU
rnacentral:lncRNA from 1 species